CCUACGGGUGGCAGCAGUGAGGAAUAUUUGUCAAUGGACGAGAGUCUGAACCAGCCAAGUAGCGUGAAGGAUGACUGCCCUAUGGGUUGUAAACUUCUGUUAUAUGGGAAUAAAACGUUCCACGUGUGGGAUUUUGUAUGUACCAUAUGAAUAAGGAUCGGCUAACUCCGUGCCAGCAGCCGCGGUAAUACGGAGGAUCCGAGCGUUAUCCGGAUUUAUUGGGUUUAAAGGGAGCGUAGGUGGAUUGUUAAGUCAGUUGUGAAAGUUUGCGGCUCAACCGUAAAAUUGCAGUUGAAACUGGCAGUCUUGAGUACAGUAGAGGUGGGCGGAAUUCGUGGUGUAGCGGUGAAAUGCUUAGAUAUCACGAAGAACUCCGAUUGCGAAGGCAGUUCACUGGACUGCAACUGACACUGAGGCUCGAAAGUGUGGGUAUCAAACAGGAUUAGAUACCCUUGUAGUC
rnacentral:rRNA from 1 species